AUUGAACGCUGGCGGCAGGCCUAACACAUGCAAGUCGAACGAGUGGCGGACGGGUGAGUAAUGUCUGGGAAACUGCCUGAUGGAGGGGGGUAACUACUGGAAACGGUAGCUAAUACCGCAUACCAUCAGAUGUGCCCAGAUGGGAUUAGCUUGUUGGUGGGGUAACGGCUCACCUAGGCGACGAUCCCUAGCUGGUCUGAGAGGAUGACCAGCCACACGGGAACUGAGACACGGUCCAGAGUCCUACGGGAGGCAGCAGUGGGGAAUAUUGCACAAUGGGCGCAAGCCUGAUGCAGCCAUGCCGCGUGUAUGAAGAAGGCCGUCGGGUUGUAAAGUACUUUCAGCGGGGAGGCGUUACUCGCAGAAGAAGCACCGGCUAACUACGUGCCAGCAGCCGCGGUAAUAC
rnacentral:rRNA from 1 species